rnacentral:misc_RNA from 1 species
AUGAACUGGAUGAUGACGACAACUCACUAGAUGAAGAAAAUGAUCCUUUCUUGAGAGCACUAAGGAAUGAAAAUCAGUAGGAAGUUUAAAAAGUGUCACAGGGUACAUCGAAAAUAAUUAGCUUUUUGACCCCCCUUUCUCGUCGCAGAGAUUGAGCUCAGUUUGUAUAUAUCAGAAUCUGAGGUUAACGAGCACUGCUCUAAGCUUCAUCUAUUCCAUGAUUGGCAGCUAUUUAGAGUUGUCUCACGUCUAACAUGAAUGAUUGUCAUGCUUGAUUGCUAAUACAGAGGUUGUGACCUAAAUGUUGCUUACACAGACAGGCGGCCCACCUAAGAACUGGGCAGUUGAACCGCUUUCUGUGCGAGCAUAUAAAGAAGGUUUAUGAACACUAUUCAGAUGCUUAAGGAAUGUCGUCUUCUGUCUCUGUUAUUGAAUGAAUCUAUGUUUCUUCUUUAAGGGGUAAUGUACUUUUAUAAGAUUAGGGAAUUUUUUACCUGGAUUUGGUUUAUAAUGACAUUUAAAUGUAAAAUAAUUGAAGUUCAUAUACUUGUAUCUUAGCUUCAUAAUGAAGCAAGUCUAUUUAAGUUUUUUCUAUAAGAUCAUUAUUGUGCAAUGGCAUAUGUCUAAAACUUUUCUUUUCAAUAUCAAUUACAUCUUAGCA